UACGUAGGGUGCAAGCGUUGUCCGGAAUUAUUGGGCGUAAAGAGCUCGUAGGCGGUUUGUUGCGUCGGCUGUGAAAUCCCGAGGCUCAACCUCGGGUCUGCAGUCGAUACGAGCAAACUAGAGUGUUGCAGGGGAGACUGGAAUUCCUGGUGUAGCGGUGAAAUGCGCAGAUAUCAGGAGGAACACCGGUGGCGAAGGCGGCGUUCUGGACUGCAACUGACACUGAGAGACGAAAGCCAGGGGAGCAAACGGG
rnacentral:rRNA from 1 species